UACCCAUCACCAUAAAGAAACAUAUCCUUACCUUUGACAGUGGAAUGAGAAAAUCCAAUUUGUACGAAAGGAUCACUCUGGUGAGCAGUACCACGAACACCACAUAGGCAGAGUUCUCAAAGUCUGUUAAUUGCACCUAGACAAGCAGAAGCUCAGAGAAGUUACAAACCAACUACACAAACGUGCUCUUCCCUGACCCAGGCCCCUCCUUCGAUCAUGUCAUUCCCAAGCCAUCUCCUAAUUCCCCAUCUGGGUCUGGAAGCCCUUUGCCCACAUCUGUUCUCAGAAAUCAACCCUCUAUAACUUGGACUGACUUGUUACCAUGCACAUACUUAAUUUUUAUUUUAUAUUUAAGAGCCUUCUGACAGCAGCAUCAGAAGGGUGAUGAACAGCUGGCGAAAGAGUACUUUUGAGUCAGUUCUUGCUGAUGCGUGUGUCUUACCUCCAUGGGUCGAAAUUCUACUCUCCAUCCGAUGUCUGAGUUUGGAGGAGGGGGCUUAAAUCUCAUUGUCUGCCAAUUUGUGGACUGAAUAUUCUAUGAUACAAAAGCAGAGAAGAAAACCAACUUUUCAUACAUCUGGGAAAAUAUUAAGAUGAUCUGAUAUUUAAUUAGGAAAGAAGACUGCUUACUGUCCAUACCAAAUUUCUUCAACUGACAAAGACAAAAAGGUAUAAUUUAAGAUUUUCUUGGAGUGUGCUCUUUCAGGAAAACAAAACAGCAAGUGUUUACCAAAAGCUAGAGGCCCUAUCCCUGCAAGCUUAAUCCCACCCAGCUCCUACUCCCUACCUCCCACCUAGGGGGCAGCAGCUGAAGAGCCACGGGGCCCCCACCUUCAUCCCUGAGAGUUUUAGGAGCCAGCCUGCCGUUCCAGGUGACACUGGACACUUUCAUCUGAGAACCCUGUCACAUAACAGUUGUUUCCUUUCUUCCUCCUCUCCUGGGAAUGCUGCUGCUUCAAUGACCCCAGAGCCUAAGAAGGGUAGCUGUUUCUCAAGACGCUAAGAGAGAGUUCUUUCUUGGCCCUAACCAUCUUGGGAUCUGAUGGCAAGACUGGAAGGAUUUAUAUCUUUUGUACAGAAAACUGCCUCCCCAUGUUGGUUUGUGAAGUGAAAUGCAUAUAAAACAUAGGAUUCCAGACUCUCAGAAGUCAAUAAAUAAAUAAAUAAAAAUAAAACUGAGGAGAUACCUCAAAAUGGUCAGACUCAUUAGCAUCAUCCAGGUGUAUUUUCUCUUCAAAAAGUGUCAGUGGGUCUCUAAUAAAGAGAUGAGCAACAUGCUGGGCCAGGAGAUGAUCAAUGCCUGCAAAGAGAUCAUAUGGGAACUCACUGCAAAGCAGGAGAUACCCCUUCCUCUUAGUCCAGAAAGACGACAGGAUAGCUCAGGAAGUUUGAAGAAAGGGUGUCUAGAAGCUUGAAAUAGCUGGUUUGAUUAGUAUCCUCACCUCGCCCAGUAUUUUAUCCUGCGGACACUGCAGAAAUGUCAACGUUUUAUUCACUACUUACACAAUGCCUGCUGGGGCACUGGUGUGGACCUACACACAGACCUCCAAAGUAAGCUCCUUUUGCUAAAAGUCAAGAAGAUCUCACAAGUAUUUGGAACCUGAAAC